rnacentral:lncRNA from 1 species
UUGAUUGAUUGUUUAGAUAAGAUCACACAGCCAGCAUUGCAGUGGCAGUUUUAUUUAUUAUAUUUAUUAAGAUCUAAUUGAUUAUGGAUGUAAAUUGUGUUUUAAAUUAACGUGUAGACCAGUAUUAUAUUAUAGCGAUGAAUCAAUCAUUCAAAAUCACUUGUGAACUUAAAUUAUCUUUUAAAUCAAUCACAAAGCAUUACAAUGGAGUAAAGAAUGAGCAAAGUAACAAAAUCUAUACUAUAAAUAUAAACCAAUUCUUUGCUUUCGCAUGAGCAGUAGGACGGAACCACAUUAGGGUGCGAAUGGUCCAUCCUUUGAGCAAAUGUGCCUUCUCAUCA